rnacentral:rRNA from 1 species
AUUGAACGCUGGCGGCAGGCCUAACACAUGCAAGUCGAGCGGAUGAAGGGAGCUUGCUCCUGGAUUCAGCGGCGGACGGGUGAGUAAUGCCUAGGAAUCUGCCUGGUAGUGGGGGAUAACGCCCGGAAACGGGCGCUAAUACCGCAUACGUCCUGAGGGAGAAAGUGGGGGAUCUUCGGACCUCACGCUAUCAGAUGAGCCUAGGUCGGAUUAGCUAGUUGGUGGGGUAAAGGCCUACCAAGGCGACGAUCCGUAACUGGUCUGAGAGGAUGAUCAGUCACAUUGGAACUGAGACACGGUCCAGACUCCUACGGGAGGCAGCAGUGUGGAAUAUUGGACAAUGGGCGAAAGCCUGAUCCAGCCAUGCCGCGUGUGUGAAGAAGGUCUUCGGAUUGUAAAGCACUUUAAGUUGGGAGGAAGGGCAGUAAGUUAAUACCUUGCUGUUUUGACGUUACCAACAGAAUAAGCACCGGCUAACUUCGUG